rnacentral:rRNA from 1 species
UACGUAGGUGGCAAGCGUUAUCCGGAAUUAUUGGGCGUAAAGAGCGCGCAGGUGGUUGAUUAAGUCUGAUGUGAAAGCCCACGGCUUAACCGUGGAGGGUCAUUGGAAACUGAGGGACUUGAGGACAGGUGAGGAGAGUGGAAUUCCACGUGUAGCGGUGAAAUGCGUAGAGAUGUGGAGGAACACCAGUGGCGAAGGCGACUCUCUAGUCUGUAUCUGACGCUGAGGUGCAAAAGCGUGGGUAGCAAACAGGAUUAGAUA